rnacentral:rRNA from 1 species
UAUACAGCGAAACUGCGAAUGGCUCAUUAUAUAAGUUAUCGUUUAUUUGAUAGUGCCUUACUACUUGGAUAACCGUGGUAAUUCUAGAGCUAAUACAUGCUAAAAACCCCGACUUCGGAAGGGGUGUAUUUAUUAGAUACAAAACCAAUGCCCUUCGGGGCUCUUUGGUGAUUCAUGAUAACUAUACGAAUCGCACGGCCUUGCGCCGGCGAUGGUUCAUUCAAAUUUCUUCCCUAUCAACUUUCGAUGUUUGGGUAUUGGCCAAACAUGGUUGCAACGGGUAACGGAGGGUUAGGGCUCGACCCCGGAGAAGGAGCCUGAGAAACGGCUACUACAUCCAAGGAAGGCAGCAGGCGCGCAAAUUACCCAAUCCCGACUCGGGGAGGUAGUGACAAUAAAUACUGAUACAGGGCCCUUUCGGGCCUUGUAAUUGGAAUGAGUACAAUUUAAAUCCCUUAACGAGGAACAAUUGGAGGGCAAGUCUGGUGCCAGCAGCCGCGGUAAUCCCAGCUCCAAUAGCGUAUAU